GAGGGUAUAGCUCAAACAGUAGAGUACAUGCCUAGCAUGCCCAAGGUCCUGGGUUCAAUUCCCAGUACCUCCA
rnacentral:tRNA from 1 species